rnacentral:rRNA from 1 species
GACGAACCGAGCGAACGUUGUUCGGAAUCACUGGGCUUAAAGGGCGCGUAGGCGGGUUCUCAAGUCCGGGGUGAAAUCCCACAGCUCAACUGUGGAAUUGCCUCGGAUACUGGGGGCCUCGAGGGUGGUAGGGGUAUGCGGAACUAUCGGUGGAGCGGUGAAAUGCGUUGAUAUCGAUAGGAACUCCGGUGGCGAAGGCGGCAUACUGGACCACAUCUGACGCUGAGGCGCGAAAGCCAGGGGAGCAAACGGG